CUGGCUCAGGAUUAACGCUGGCGGCGUGCCUAAUACAUGCAAGUCGGAUGGUAGCAAUACCAUGGCGAACGGGUGAGUAACACGUAGGUAACCUGUCUAUAAGACGAGGAUAACCAUUGGAAACGAUGGAUAAUACUGGAUAGGACAUUUGGAGGCAUCUUUGAAUGUUUAAAGAUUUAUCGCUUAAUGAGGGGCCUGCGGCGCAUUAGCUAGUUGGUAAGGUAACGGCUUACCAAGGCGAUGAUGCGUAGCCGGACUGAGAGGUUGAACGGCCACAAUGGAACUGAGAACGGUCCAUACUCCUACGGGAGGCAGCAGUAGGGAAUUUUCGGCAAUGGACGGAAGUCUGACCGAGCAACGCCGCGUGAACGAAGAAGUAUUUCGGUAUGUAAAGUUCUUUUAUUAGGGACGAAAAACAAAUUGACGGUACCUAAUGAAUAAGCUCCGGCUAACUACGUGCCAGCAGCUGC
rnacentral:rRNA from 1 species